UACGUAGGGUCCGAGCGUUAAUCGGAAUUACUGGGCGUAAAGCGUGCGCAGGCGGUUUUGUAAGCCAGAUGUGAAAGCCCGGGCUCAACCUGGGAACUGCAUUUGGGACUGCAAGGCUGGAGUACGGCAGAGGGAGGUGGAAUUCCACGUGUAGCAGUGAAAUGCGUAGAGAUGUGGAGGAACACCGAUGGCGAAGGCAGCCUCCUGGGCUAGUACUGACGCUCAUGCACGAAAGCGUGGGGAGCAAACAGG
rnacentral:rRNA from 1 species